rnacentral:lncRNA from 1 species
CGGUUUUAUUCUGUCAGGACGACUUUCUUUUAUAAUGAUUUUGUAUGAAAAUGCAAGUCAUAAACUAAUAAAGAGUCUUACUUCUCGAAAAAUAACAAAAUUUUGGAUACAUGCAUGUUAAUUUUUUCUAUCACACUCUAAAAAAAUAAAAAACUUUAUAUUCUAUUCUAUGAUAAUGAAACACUUACCACUAAAAAACAAACACAAUUUGUUGAUUAUUCUAUAAGAAUAUACUAUUAAACAUAUCCUUAUCAUUCUAUUGUAGAUUAUUCUGCGAGAAUAUAAUGAUGAAUAGUGCUUUCUUUGGUGACCAUUGUUCAUCUUCAUUACAUAUACCAUCAUCUAACCUUCAUGUCAUUGAUCACCAUCUUCACUUCACGCAUUCUAUGAGAAUAACUUUCUUUAAGCCUUUAUAUAACAAAUAAUAAAACAAACUUUAGUAAUUCUAAUAAAAUGCAUAUCGUAUGGUCAGAUAUAAUACUUUUUACAAUAAUAUAAGAAUGUCUACAAAUUAUUCUAAUAGAAGGAUACCUUAGCUACAAAAUAUUCUUAAAGAAUAUAAAACGUGUUGAUCAAAUGCAGCACACAUAGAGAAAAAAAGGAGUUGAUGGUACCCGAAUCAAGAAACCUAAAAUUUUAGAGUUGAAUUGAUCAGUAAAACCCAUGUGCUCUUAACUUGUAUUCUCAAACUCUUUGGUGAUCUCAUUUGCUCUUAACUCAACAACCUUUUAGCCAACUUCAGGCUUGUUUAGUAUGUGGUAUAAAUUGCGUAUACACAACUAUAGAAUAUGUGUUCGGUUCCUUUUAAGGCUCUCCUUCAGAAAUCACAUCCGACAAUCACAAUUACAAAGAAAUCCAAAAAUUACUAAAUACUCAAAAUAUCUAUUCAAUUUUCUUUUAUUUUUUCUAUCCUUCCAAUCUACAAAAAAAAGAAACUUACAAGCGAGUUGUUUCGGUUUAUGAGAAAAAAAACCCAUAAGUAAUAGAAAGCAUACAUUGAUAAGUAGAAAACACAGAGAGCAAUGGGUAUGUGAACAAUACUUAAAGAACAAGCUAAGAAUAGCUGCCAAGUUAUCUUAGCCCCUAUUUACAUAUCAAUAUUAUAAAAAAAGAAGAUGAGAAAUGAACAAUUACCAUUGCAAACAUUAUAUUUGAUAGUGUUUACUUCUAACUGUCAACCACCACCCAUAAACCUUUCAUCCCCAACAUCACCAUAUGCAUCUUCCCACUCCCCUCUGUCGGUGGAAAGAAAUAACUAAAGUUUCAAGAAUAAAAAGUAUCCAAAAAACACUUUUAAAAAGUACCCCAAUUUAAUCUACGAAUCAAUUAUAAGCCCUAGCUACAAAUUUCCUCCACACUUAACUCGUGAAUCCUAUGAAGUAUGGAAAAAAAAGAACUAAAGAAGAAGAUGAAGAUGAUCAAUAAAGUGAUUAUUAGAAUUUGAGAGGUAGAGAUGGAACUUGUAAGAAAAGAAGGAAGCGCACAGUAGAUCGACAUUGAAAUUUUGACCACACGACGAGCUAAUGGAACUCAAGUCGUGAUAAGAAAUCGAACAUGGAUGGAGAAGAUAGCGGUGGAGAGAAACAGCUAGCGUAAUCGGAAGAAAUAUACCAAAAACUAACAUAUAGAUUGAUAAGGAACUGUCGCUACUUUCAGUGGAAAAAAAAACCCUAAUUUCAUAUAAGGGAAAACGAAUGUGAGAGAGAGAGAGAGAGAGAGAUAAUGUUAGAGGCGGUGGGAUAAGGAAAUGUUAGAAAAAAAAAAACCAGUUUGUGCUUUAUUUUAGAUGAUAGUGUAGAAAAUCGAUUAUGCCAGGAGCAUAGUAGCAGGCAAUGAGUGUAUAUUAGAAAUUUCAUGUAGAAAAUGGAAUCGAGAACUUACAUGCGAAAAAUCGAUGAUCGAUGAGAGAAUAGGUUUGGAUGAAUCGAUGAAGUAGAUAGUCAAAUGGAGAUGGUGGUGUAGGUUACUGUGUUGAAGA